GGAUGCUGAAGACAAGCCGUAAUGAGAAAAAAGGUGAUGAAGAAGGUUCAGUGAACAAGACAACUUCUUAGUUGGUGGGGGAACACAAUUUGAAUACUGUGGGAAGUAUUUGAAGAUGUAUUUCAUUGUUGUUAGUGUUUUGUUUUUUUUUAAAUCUACUAUACCAUAUAAUGCAGUGGGAAGAUCGAAUUUUAAAAAAAAUUUAUGUUGGGAACCUUAAAUUUAUUUGUUUAAUGUUGUGGACCUUUUAGGUUAACAACAAGCUAGAAACACAUUUGAUGUUAUGUAUACAACACUGUUUUUCUGAUCCUUAUUACAAGCAUGUAUAUUAUUUUA